rnacentral:tRNA from 1 species
GGCGUUGUGGCUCAGUGGUAGAACACUUGCCUAGCGCGUAUGAGGCACUGGGUUCAAUUCUCAGCACCCCA